rnacentral:lncRNA from 1 species
AGGUUCUGAGAUGGGAGAACCCAGCUUCAAGCUCAAGCAGUGGCAGCUCAGCUUUGGCAAUUUAUGAAGGAGUAAGAGGUGGUAGAUGGAACGGCAGGAGAUCCUGAGAUGCACGAUCCAAGUCCAGGGUGAGAGACUUGAGCAAGAUUAGAUGCUAAGAGUACGAUGAGUUGGGAUAUCAUAUCAAAGAUUGUCCACAAUGAAG